ACGCCCGCGUCCCUGCGCCCCGCGCUCCGCCGCCUGCCGCCUGCCUGCCACUGCCUCCCGCCGCCGCCGCCGCCGCGGCCAGCCAAACCCUGCCCUGCCCUGCCCUGCCCUGCCGCCCGCCCAGGGCACGGGAGGCCUCGGGCACCCCGGGGACUGUGGGCGGGCGGGGCGCAAGUCUAGGCGCUCUCCCAAGCCGGCCCCGGACGCUCCAGGCCUCCUUCCCGCUGGCUUCCUGGCUAUAGAUUAGGUCGGGUCUCCUCUGAAGUUCAGAAUAAUAUAAAAAGGCCCAUCCUUUGUCAGGCUGUAAGAAAAUAAUUUCUCAGAUACCAUUGUGUAAAAGCAUCCUGCCUUUGUCAUGGAAUCAGUGACAUAUCUUUCGUUGAUCAAAACAGCAGUGGGAGUACCUGUGGAGCAAUGAUAAGGAUUCAGGAAAUAGUUUACGAUUCAAGUGCAUCCUAAAGUUGGAGCAACCCUGGCUAGAAUAUCAUAGAUCCUUGAGUUGGCAGAGACCUUUCACUCUUCAGUAUAUUUAUAUUCAACGCAAAGAUCCUUCCUUCUAUAUCAUCCUUGACAACAGACCACCUAGAUUCUGUGUAAAUAAUUCCGAUGACAAGAAACGCAUUAAAUAAAGAGACCCCUUUGUUUUUAGAGUUUUAAA
rnacentral:lncRNA from 1 species